ACGGAGGGAGCUAGCGUUGUUCGGAAUUACUGGGCGUAAAGCGCACGUAGGCGGCUUUGUAAGUCAGAGGUGAAAGCCUGGAGCUCAACUCCAGAACUGCCUUUGAGACUGCAUAGCUUGAAUCCAGGAGAGGUGAGUGGAAUUCCGAGUGUAGCUGUGAAAUGCGUAGAUAUGCGGAGGAACACCAGUGGCGAAGGCAGCUCACUGGACGGGUAUUGACGCUGAUGUGCGAAAGCGUGGGGAGCAAACAG
rnacentral:rRNA from 1 species